UGGAACAAACACGAUUUUUUUAGAAAAUCCAAUUCGUAGUAGGAAAUACACUAAUGUGGCUUUCCCCCGAGAGCCUCAAAUUGAUUCUUUUUCUUCUUCAGAAACAAAAAUACCAGAAGUACCAUCCAAGGAAGACCAUCAGCGCCACCAACACCAAAAACAGUGAAAUCACUUUUGUAAAUUAAUCUAAUGUAUUGUGCCAGGGUAAUGUUUCAUAGAGUGGAAUGAUAGACCUCAACACAAGUAUUAAAAAAAAAGAAGCAAAACAAGUCUACAUCUCAAAACCUGAUGACUUCCUGGACUGGCUUUAGUAGAACGAUGAUGCAUAUCAAUUUCAUCCCUGAUCUCUAUGACAUCUGUGGUGGAAGUGGGAGUCAAAUCGUAAUCAGUUUGGGUUCCAGCCCCGAGGACCUCUGUAAACUUUGCUUUUUGGUGAUGACUUCAUUUCCGAGCUUGAAAAGGACGCCCUUGUGUUUAUCAUGGCCUCUCAUAUUGGAAGAUAACAUAAAUGACUUGUGUGUUGACGGUUGUGCAUAUCUCUUGGUCAGGAAAGUUGUAAGCAACAUUGGCACUGUAAAUCAUUUGACAGGCCAGAGUGAACAGGGAGACAGACCUAUGAUUGGUCAGCAAUGUAUCAGAUUCCAUACUGGGGGGUGGGGAUGAAAAAACUGUUGUAGUGUUACACAAUCAGAUUAUUUCAACUUAAUUAUCCUGUGGAAAUACAGCUACAUGUAUAUAGGAGAUAUUUUGAAAUUCAUAGGCACUGCAUGUUUCAACAUUUUAGAUUUGACCACAAUUGGCACUUGAAACUAUGUUAACAGAGAAAAACUGUGUGGUUUUCGAUGAAAGUGUUAAAAGUCUAAUAUUGCAUCAUGAUUACCGUUUUAAAGUAUUUUUGUGUUUGAUUUAUAUUGAAUUCAUCUCAUCUUUUUGAAGAAUGCAUUUAUGUUCAAAAAUAAAAAUGUUCUGUGGAAUUAAAAAAUCAUGUGCUUUUAAAUUAUCAGAUUCCAAACUGGGGGUGGGGAUAAAAAAGCUGUUGUAGUUGUAGUGUUACAUAAUCAGAUUAUUUCAACUUACUUAUCCUUUGGAAAUACAACUAUAUAGGAGAUAUUUUAAAAUUGAUAGGCACUGCAUGUUUCAACAUCUUAGAUUUGACCACAGUUUGGCACUUGAAAUGAAACUACGCUAACAGAGAAAAACUGUGUGGUUUUCGAUGAAAGUGUGAAAAAGUCUAAUAUUGCAUCAUGAUUACUGUUUUAAAGUAUUUUCGUGUUGGAUUUAUAUUGAAUUUAUCUCAUCUUUUUACAGAAUGCAUUUAUGUUCAAAAAUAAAAAUGUUCUGUUUAAUUCAAAAUUCAUGUGCUUUUAAAUUUCUGUCUGAAAUUCCGCAGUUUUCUGAUGUAUUAUAGUGUUUGCAGAAUGCCGC